rnacentral:rRNA from 1 species
GUGUCAGCAGCCGCGGUAAUACGGAGGAUCCAAGCGUUAUCCGGAUUUAUUGGGUUUAAAGGGUGCGUAGGCGGUAAAUUAAGUCAGAGGUGAAAGCCUGCAGCUCAACUGUAGAACUGCCUUUGAUACUGGUUUACUUGAGUACAGAUGAAGUGGGCGGAAUGUGACAAGUAGCGGUGAAAUGCAUAGAUAUGUCACAGAACACCGAUUGCGAAGGCAGCUCACUAAAGUGUAACUGACGCUGAGGCACGAAAGCGUGGGGAUCAAACAGGAUUAGAUACCCCCGUAGUCC